GAAUUCGCCCUUGGGGAAUUUUCCGCAAUGGGCGAAAGCCUGACGGAGCAAUACCGCGUGAGGGAGGAAGGCUCUUGGGUUGUAAACCUCUUUUCCCAGGGAAGAACAGAAUGACGGUACCUGAGGAAUAAGCAUCGGCUAACUCCGUGCCAGCAGCCGCGGUAAUACGGAGGAUGCAAGCGUUAUCCGGAAUGAUUGGGCGUAAAGGGUCCGCAGGUGGCAUUGUAAGUCUGCUGUUAAAGAGUUUGGCUCAACCAAAUAAGAGCAGUGGAAACUACAAAGCUAGAGUGUGGUCGGGGCAGAGGGAAUUCCUGGUGUAGCGGUGAAAUGCGUAGAUAUCAGGAAGAACACCAGUGGCGAAGGCGCUCUGCUAGGCCGAGACUGACACUGAGGGACGAAAGCUAGGGGAGCGAAUGGGAUUAGAUACCCCAGUAGUCCUAGCCGUAAACGAUGGAUACUAGGCGUAGCUCGUAUCGACCCGAGCUGUGCCGGAGCUAACGCGUUAAGUAUCCCGCCUGGGGAGUACGCAGGCAACUGUGAAACUCAAAGGAAUUGACGGGGGCCCGCACAAGCGGUGGAGUAUGUGGUUUAAUUCGAUGCAACGCGAAGAACCUUACCAAGGCUUGACAUGUCACGAAUCCUAUUGAAAGAUGGGAGUGCCUUCGGGAGCGUGAA
rnacentral:rRNA from 1 species